rnacentral:misc_RNA from 1 species
GUGGAAAACAGAAAAAAAAGGGAGAGAAACAAGGCACUGACAAGAGCUAACAUUGAUGGAAAAACAGGAAAACAUUUUACCAUAGAAGCAAAGAAGUGGAAAUAAAUGGGACAACAUAAGUAAAAAUGACACAAUAGGAAAACUUAGACUAAUAGUGAAUAGCAUACCAUUAGACUAAUAGUUAAUACCAUACCACCCUACCAUAACAAU